rnacentral:rRNA from 1 species
UGGGGAAUAUUGCACAAUGGGCGAAAGCCUGAUGCAGCAACGCCGCGUGAGUGAUGAAGGCCUUCGGGUUGUAAAGCUCUGUCUUCUGGGACGAUAAUGACGGUACCAGAGGAGGAAGCCACGGCUAACUACGUGCCAGCAGCCGCGGUAAUACGUAGGUGGCAAGCGUUGUCCGGAUUUACUGGGCGUAAAGGAUGCGUAGGCGGAUACUUAAGUCAGAUGUGAAAAUCCCGGGCUUAACUUGGGAACUGCAUUUGAAACUGGGUAUCUAGAGUGCGGGAGAGGAAAGUGGAAUUCCUAGUGUAGCUGUGAAAUGCGUGGAGAUUAGGAAGAACACCAGUGGCGAAGGCGACUUUCUGGACCGUAACUGACGCUGAGGCAUGAAAGCGUGGGGAGCAAACA